UUGAUGCCAUCCGCUCCCAAAAUGUAGA
rnacentral:sRNA from 1 species